rnacentral:pre_miRNA from 12 species
GCCCCGUGGCACCAGAAAUCAAGGGUGGGUAAGACCUCGUAGGCCAACCAGCAGGCGACCCAUACUUGGUUUCAGGGGCUGCGUGGC